rnacentral:rRNA from 1 species
GAUGAACGCUGGCGGCGUGCUUAACACAUGCAAGUCGAACGGAAAGGCCCUGCUUUUGUGGGGUGCUCGAGUGGCGAACGGGUGAGUAACACGUGAGUAACAUGCCCUUGACUUUGGGAUAACUUCAGGAAACUGGGGCUAAUACCGGAUAGGAGCUCCUGCUGCACGGUGGGGGUUGGAAAGAUUCGGCGGUUCGGGAUGGAAUAGCGGCUUACCAGCUUGUUGGUGGGGUAGUGGCUUACCAAGGCUUUGAAGGGUAGCCGGCCUGAGCGGGUGACCAGCCACAUUGGUACUGCGGUACGGCCCAGACUCCUACGUGCGGCAGCAGUCGGGAAUAUUGCACAAUGGGCGGAAGCCUGAUGCAGCAACGCCGCGUGCGUGAUGACGGCCUUCGGGUGGUAAACCGCUUUCUCCUGUGACGAGGCGUGAUUGACGGUAAUGGGUAAAGAAGCACCGGCUAACUACGUG